rnacentral:lncRNA from 10 species
CUGGAAGCACAAGUCCUCUUAAGACAGGCCUGGCUACAGCGGCGUCUGGCCUCUUCUCAAAGACCUUCAGUGGUGGCCACUCACAACCUCACAAAGCAUGUAUAAAGUGAGGAGAAAGCCUCUCUGGGCCUAGAGGCCCAUGCUGCUGGCUGCUCAGACAGAUGUCUCCCUGGACUCCACGAAUGGGAUCUGAGCCACUCUCCCACCCUAUGGAGCUCUCUGGGCAUAUGUCCUGUCUCUCUCUUCUCUUUAGGGCAAAUGUGAAUGAGAUGAGUAUUUUCAUCCAAAUCACUGGGGAAAGAGGAAGGGAACCUGGACAGAGCCUUUUGUAGGGCUCCCGCCAACCAGGCCAUCAGGUGGCCCUUGAGCACCUGCUUCUGAUGGGUUCCUGCCAGGAGGCACUCGGCACCUGUAUUCCUAACAUUCCUGCCAAACGGGUCAGGGUGAUGCCCUCCAGCCUCUGCACCCCUCCCUUCUCUGCCUCCCGGCAGGUAUUUAUUUAAUAGCUUUGCAGGUCAGUUUCCUGUCGCUGCUGUGACUAAUUCCCACAAGCACAGUAGCUGAAAACAACACUAAUGUAUCAUACAGUUUCAGAGGUCUCACUAGACUAAAAUCGAAGUGUUGGCAGAGCUGCACUCCUUCUGGAGGCUCUAGGGGACAAUCUGUUUUCUCGCCUUUCCCAGCUUCUAGAGGCCGCUCACAUUCCUGGGCUCAUGGCUGGGCUCAUGGCCCCUUCCUCCAUCUUCAAAGCCAGUAGUGUAAUAUCUUCCAAUCUCUCUCUCUCAUCUUCCAGCCUCGCUCUUAUAAGGGCCCUUGUGAUGACAUUGAGCUCCCCUGGCUAAUCCAGGCUACUCCUACCAUCUCAAAAUCCUUAACUUAAUCACACCUGCAAAGUCCUUUUGGCCAUGAACGGUAAUCCAUCCACAGGUUCUAGGGGUUAGGACGUGGACAUCCUUGGUGGGGGCAUCACUCUGCUGACCAUACCCCAGACUUCCGUUCCAGAAAGGAGUCAGGAUGGUGUGCAUAACUGGAUGUCCACCUCCCAUUAGACAGAGAACUCUUGAAGGCAAGGAUAUGGUCUACUCAUCACAAACCCCCUCAGCCCCAUCCUUAACAUACAAAAAAAGUGACAAGUAAAAGCAUGCAGAAUUAAUGAACUUGAAAUCAGCAGAAGGGCUCCCCACAGGCGGUACUUCAUAAACCCCAAUCCUGGAGCUCCCAGCCGUGGGACAGGCCUCAUGGGGAGUCCCCUUUGCCCUGCACCUGUAGUGGGAGCUCAGAACUGCCAAAGAGGAUGGUCAGUGUGGGACGGAUUCUGCUGUCUCAGAGCGUGGGAAAUGAGGGUGGGUUCUGGUGUCAGAAAGGCUUGGGGCUGAAUCCUGCUUUGCCACAUAUGGUGGAGCUUGGGUGAGUUACUUACCCACUUGCCUCAAUUUCCCUUCUAUAAGUAAUGAAGAGAAUGCAGUCCAACCAGCGAGAUUGUUGCAAGCAGUGAAUAAGAUCAUGUAUAAGAAAGCAUGGCCCAAGACAGUUACGCAAUGAUUACCAAUAUUCCUUCCCUCUGUCGUCCUUGUAGGACAGUAUCACAUGCAUCUCUUAUCCAGCUGCUUAAGCUAAAGUGAGGAAAUCAGGAACACGGCAUUUCUGGUCAUGUGCUUUUUGUGUGAUCGAUAACCAGGUACUCAUUUUCAGUUGUCAGCAGAUGGCCACCCGUGCCCCCUAGUGUAUGCUGAGACAGGCGGCUGAGAGGUGCUCCAAAGCUGGUCAGCCCUGUUGCUCCAUCCAUCUGUCUCAGGUUUGUUGGUUUUAUUUUGUUUUGAUAUUUUUUUUCUUUGUAAAAUAGGUUCUAAAUGGAAAGUGCUGAGUUAGACAUAACAAUAACUUCCAACAGCAGAAUUCCAUGACUCAAAAACAAAAAGUCAGUCUCAAUUCCAUCAUUUGGAAGUUACAAAAAUUUGAUCAGGAGCUGGCUUGUGGUCAGAAUGAGGGGUGUUGGCUGAGGUCAUCCUGGAAGCAGGUGAUGAGAGAAUGUCACUCUCAAAGCCCACCCGACCAGCUCCAGUCUACUUUUAGCCACUUUUAAAGAUGCCCUUCUGGUGGCACGCCACUGCUGGAAAUGAGCAACAGGGUUUUCUCACGCCAGUGGGCAAGGGUGGCCACUGGCCUUCAGAGAAUGGGAUUCUUGGAUGAGGUUUUGACUCAGAGCAGAUUUGGGGGCGUGAGCCUAACCUUAAACCCUAGAAAAGCUACUGUGCAGAAGACAGAGUGGCUUAAGAGGGCAGAACAAGAAAACUAGUCUCUUCUUGCUGAGUUAGACACUGGCAACCAGGACAACACAGGGUGACCUGGGGGGCGAGGGGGGCUUGUUUCCCUAUCGGAGGAGAUAUUCACAUCAAGAUUAAAAAAAGAAACAACAACAACAAAAAAACAUUUGUUGGCCGGGUGCGGUGACUCAUGCCUGUAAUCCCAGCACUUUGGGAGGCCAAGAUGGGAGGAUUGCUUGAGGCUACGAGUUCAAGAUCAGUCCGGGUAACAUAGUGAGACUCCAUCUCUACAAAAUAUAAAAAAAAUUAGCGGAGUGUGGUGGUGCACACUUGUGGUCCCAGCUACUAGGGAGGUUGAUGUGGGAGGAUCGCCUGAGCCCAGGAAAUCAUGGCUGCAGUGAGGUCUGAUGGCACCACUGCUUUCCAGUCUGCGUGCCAGCGAGACCCUGUCUCAAAAAAAGAAAACAAAAACACUUGUUGGCUUGUUGAAGACAGAAGGCUGUAUUUUCUGCCUACGCUUUUCCGAAGGCAGGGCUCUUCCACAGUAUCACAGUAUCCCCAAUGCCUAGACCAGAGCAGACACUCAAAAAAUAUUUGGUAAAUGAAUGAAUCCUAGGACCAUCAGUCAAGAAUCCUGAGGGCGUGAUGAGAUUUAGCCCCAGGGCCAACAUUGCCUCGUGGUGUGAUCUAGGCCCACUUCUUAAUCUCUCUGAGGCAGAGGUUUCUCAGUUAAAAACAGAGGAAAUAAUAAAGACAGCCGUAUAGAAGGGGGCUGCUGGGAGGUUCUUAACACUGGAUGAAAAAUGCUUUCUAGGGGAAAAGGCAAGUCACAAAAUAAACUCCGAUAGCAUUCUUGAAAUCAAAAACAUGCAUGCAUAAUAUGACCAUGUACUAUGCAUGGAUUUAUACAAAUGUUAGUAAAAGUACCAACUUGGAUUGUGAAGCCAGAUUCAUGAUCGUGGCUGCCUCUGGGAAAGGGGGAGAUGGGA